AUGGAGAGCUUUACAAAUGGGAAUGUUAGGUUAUUGAAGCAUGAACGCAACAUUGUUGCAGAGGAUGAUCUUGACCAUCGGUGGCAGGAAGCCACUCGAGAGGCUGUUUCCGAGGUCUCCAACCGCCCUGCACUCAUUGUCCAUCCAAUCAGUGUGCCACAUCUGAGGGAGGAUGAGACCCCCCCCCCCCCCUCAAGGUGGGAGGCCUGGAUGGGAAGCGGUGCCAAACCCUCGAAUUGGCCCAUGGUUCCGGUUGAUGCAAAAUGUUGCUGCAGACCAAGGUCUUGUUCCAGAGUUUGA
rnacentral:rRNA from 1 species